GUCCACGCCGUAAACGAUGAGUACUAGGUGUUGCGGGUAUUGACCCCUGCAGUGCCGCAGCUAACGCAUUAAGUACUCCGCCUGGGAAGUACGGUCGCAAGACUAAAACUCAAAGGAAUUGACGGGGGCCCCGCACAAGCGGUGGAGCAUGUGGUUUAAUUCGACGCAACGCGCAGAACCUUACCUGGGCUUGACAUCUACGGAACCCUCCCGAAACGGAGGGGUGCCUUUCGGGGAGCCGUAAGACAGGUGCUGCAUGGCUGUCGU
rnacentral:rRNA from 1 species